rnacentral:rRNA from 1 species
GUAAGGAAUAUUGGUCAAUGGAGGCAACUCUGAACCAGCCAUGCCGCGUGCAGGAAGACGGCCCUCUGGGUUGUAAACUGCUUUUAUCCGGGAAUAAACCUGCCUUCGUGAAGGUAGCUGAAUGUACCGGAAGAAUAAGGAUCGGCUAACUCCGUGCCAGCAGCCGCGGUAAUACGGAGGAUCCAAGCGUUAUCCGGAUUUAUUGGGGUUAAGGGGUGCGUAGGCGGCCUGUUAAGUCAGGGGUGAAAGACGGUGGCUCAACCAUCGCAGUGCCCUUGAUACUGAUGGGCUUGAAUGGACUAGAGGUAGGCGGAAUGUGACAAGUAGCGGUGAAAUGCAUAGAUAUGUCACAGAACACCGAUUGCGAAGGCAGCUUACUAUGGUCCUAUUGACGCUGAGGCACGAAAGCGUGGGGAUCGAACAGGAUUAGAAACCCCAGUAGUCC